AUGUUGCAGAUCCAAGCUGGUCUCAGCAAGUCACUUACGAAGGUGUCUGACCCCAGUCUACCUCUUUGCUGGAAAGGGCAGAAAGUGUUUAAAUCUGUGUCUGACAUCAAGAAGGAGUUCAAAUCACUCUUCCUGAUGUUUUCGAAGAAUACAGCCAUGGAGAUCGCUCCCGAAAACUACCUCAUUGUUACCGUAAGUAUUUGA
rnacentral:rRNA from 1 species